AUCCACGUAUUUUAUGAACAUUGCUGGUUGUUUUGGAUAUUCUGCUCCUCUUUCAAUUUUUGGUCAACAUCUUCAUAUUUUUGGUCUCCAUCUUUUUUCAUUUCUUUGCUUCUUCAAGUUCUCUUAGAAAAUUUCUCAAUUUCAUGGUUGUGGAAAAUAGUCGAUUGAGACUUCCUGGUUGUUGAAAAAAUUACUCUUAAGUCGAAGCCUCGAUUUUGGUAUUUCACGCCAUGAAAGCUCCAGCAUAGAAAGCUCCCGAAUGCCGCCACCGGUGGUGACAAGAAGAAGAAGUGGGCAAGAAGUCGAUUGAGACUUCUUGAAGGUGCUGGAGCAAGUUCACCCCGACAUCGGUAUCUCUAGCAAAGCCAUGGGUUAUUGAUAAAUUUCAACUUAAAAUCCCUUUAUUCUAAAAUAAAUAUUUGUUUCUCUGAUUCUAAUUUUUGAAUUUUAGGGUCCGGUUUCUUGACUUUUGCAGGAUAUGUUGUCAAUAAAGGAAACAAUAGUGAGAGAUUUCAGAGAAAUAUAAACCAAAGCUAUGGUGGUGGUGGCGGUCAUCGCAAUCGCUUACAACAUUUAGGUAGUAUUGCGUUGUUUUCGCUUUUCUAAUUCUCAUUCUAAGGGGCAUCUUAUAAUUUUCAUAUGUGGGUAUAUUUCUUGUGAAAACUCAAGGUUACUAAGUAUUGUUUACCCUGAAGCAUUGUUAGUUUUGAUUUGAAAUUGGAUAUUGUCCUGCAUAUUUGCUAUAAAAAUGUGUUCCUUGCUA